UGGGGAAUCUUCCGCAAUGGACGAAAGUCUGACGGAGCAACGCCGCGUGAGUGAUGACGGUCUUCGGAUUGUAAAGCUCUGUUAAUCGGGACGAAUGGUUUGUGUGCAAAUAGUGCAUAGACAUGACGGUACCUAACCAGAAAGCCACGGCUAACUACGUGCCAGCAGCCGCGGUAAUACGUAGGUGGCAAGCGUUGUCCGGAAUUAUUGGGCGUAAAGCGCGCGCAGGUGGUUUAGAAAGUCUGAUGUGAAAGCCCACGGCUCAACCGUGGAGGGUCAUUGGAAACUAAUAAACUUGAGUGCAGGAGAGAAAAGUGGAAUUCCUAGUGUAGCGGUGAAAUGCGUAGAGAUUAGGAGGAACACCGGUGGCGAAAGCGGCUUUUUGGCCUGCAACUGACACUGAGGCGCGAAAGCGUGGGGAGCAAACAGG
rnacentral:rRNA from 1 species